UUAAUUCGAUGCAACGCGAAGAACCUUACCUACUCUUGACAUCCAGAGAACUUUCCAGAGAUGGAUUGGUGCCUUCGGGAACUCUGAGACAGGUGCUGCAUGGCUGUCGUCAGCUCGUGUUGUGAAAUGUUGGGUUAAGUCCCGCAACGAGCGCAACCCUUAUCCUUGUUUGCCAGCGAGUAAUGUCGGGAACUCCAGGGAGACUGCCGGUGAUAAACCGGAGGAAGGUGGGGACGACGUCAAGUCAUCAUGGCCCUUACGA
rnacentral:rRNA from 1 species